GUUAGAGGGUGAUCUGGCUAUGACAUCUGUCACCUCAUUCAUCGCCAGGGUGAAUUCAGCUGAUCUGGCCGAUUAAGCAGUUGUCCUCUGGCUCCCUCACUGCUCCAUGUACAUAAUUCCUGAAGCUACGUGCUUGGUCAAAGAGGACAACCUUCCCCAAUAGAGGCAGACCAGUCUUCAGUCAAGGUUUUAGGAGUAGCUGAGCUCCUUCUUUGGAACCUCAAAACAAGCUCUCAAAAUACCUGACUGAAAAACAUAAGAAAGGAAGGUUUGUUUUAGCUCACAGUCUGAUGGUACAGAUCA
rnacentral:snRNA from 1 species